UUAUAAUAUGGAUAAAAGAAAUAACUGUGAUAUUUCUUCAAGACAUAAGAGACGAUUAGCACAAGAAGAAACGAAAAAAGAUUAUUUGUUACUAGAAUCGUCAAGCAGUAAUGUGACUGAUUUUGAUGGUCCAUCUGUCGAAUAUAUAAAAAAAUGUCGAAUUGAAAAUGUAAAUGAUCAAUUAUCAAUUUCAACAUCACCUUUUAAUAUUGAUCACAAGCACAUCAAUCAGUAUUCGUCAAACAUUAGUAGCAAUAAUAAAGAAGAAUUUUCGUCGGAUGAAAUACAUAACUCAUCAGAAAUGGACACAGAUCACGAAGAUUUGAUUGAUAUUGAGGAAAAAAAAGAAGAAAUGUUAUCGUUAUUGUAUGACUCUGAUGAUUCCAGUGACGCUGCAGAGGAUAUGGAUAGUGAAUAUAUUGACGAUGAAGAUAAAAGUAAGGAUAAUGAAUUGUUGCACAAUCUUCGAAAUUGGUCUUUUGCAUUUAAAAUUAGGCAUAACGCAAUUAAUGCUCUGAUUAGAAUUCUGAGGCAUACUCCACAUUCACAAUUCAAUACAUUGCCGAAGAAUGCAAGAACGCUUCUAAAAACACCUAGAAAAACUGCUGAAAUAGUUACAUUAUCUGGAGGAUCGUAUUAUCAUUUUGGUGUUUCGAAUACUUUAGAAGUACUCCUGCUACACUAUAAAAACGAUAUUUCAAACCAAGUGUACAUGGUCGGACUAUUUUUUGGUCAAAAGAAACCAAACAAUGCCAAUGAAUUCUUACAACAAUUUGUGAAAGAAUUAAUACCAUUAAUACAGAGAGGAUAUCAUUCAGACAUGUUAAACUGUGAUAUUAAAGUUAAUAUUAAAGCCAUUAUUUGCGAUGCUCCAGCAAAAUCUUUUAUUUUAAAUGUUAAAGGACAUAAUGGUUAUUCAAGCUGUACUAAAUGUACCAUUAGCGGAGAUUACAUUAACUCUAAAAUGUGCUUUCUUUAUGAAAAAAGAUCAAGUGCACUCAGAACUGACGAAGAUUUUGUACAUCAGACAGACUCUGAUUAUCAUCAAGGAGAAUUGCCCACAAUUUUGCUCUCUGUGCCUCAUUUAGGAUUAGUGUCGAAUAUUGCUCUUGACUACAUGCACUUGAUUUGUUUGGGCAUUGUAAAAAAAAUUAUAUUGUUGUGGAUAAGUGGACCAUUAGCUGUUCGCAUUCGUGCUCAAGCAAAAGAUAAUAUUUCGCAAGCACUUAUUAAUUUAAGAAGUUCUGUGCCCAAAGAAUUUUCAAGACGACCUCGAAGUUUAAAUGAAGUAGCAUACUGGAAAGCCACAGAAUUUCGGCAAUUUUUAUUAUAUACUGGACCUAUUGUUUUAAAAACAGUUUUAAAUAGAGAUAUAUACACACACUUUUUGACCUUACAUGUGGCUGUAUCAAUACUCAUCAGUCCAAUGCUAAUAGUAAAUAAAAACAAUGUAGAUUAUGCAGAAAAACUAUUGCAACAUUUUGUUGAAUCAUUUGAGAAAAUUUAUGGCAAGGAAUAUAUGUCUCAUAAUGUACAUAAUUUGUUACAUCUCUCUAAUGAAACUCGAAAAUUUGGAUCACUUGAUUCUUUUAGCUCAUUUAGAUUUGAAAACUUUUUACAAAUUUUAAAAAGUUUUCUGUGUAAAGCAGAAAAACCACUGCAGCAAGUUAUACGACGAUACAUGGAAAGAAGACAAAAUCGAUAUGAGAGUAUGAAGAAUAAAUCAUUUCAUUCACUUCAUAAAUUUGAAUUAAAAGGAAAACAUACUACUGGUAUAGUGGCCGAUGAAAUUCAAGAUAUUAUUAAAUCGCAAUACAGGAAACUAUUAUUAUUAGAAAAUUAUGAAAUCGACUGCAACAGCGAAGCAAAUAAUUGUAUCAUGACAAAAGAUGGAAACUUACUUACAGUUAAGAAUGUCGUGAAAUGUACUAAUAAUAUAACGUAUGUUGUUGGUUAUCAAUUGAGGAAAUUAGAUGUUUUAUAUUCACGACCAUUUUCAUCAGAGAAUUUGGGCAUUAAUGCUGUUGAAGAAAUAAAUAGUAAUGUGAUAUGUUAUCCUUUGAAUGAAAUACAAGGAAAGAUGUGGAAAAUUAAAUUUAAUUCAAAAUUAUAUGUCAUUCCUAUUCGACACGUUUGUGGAUAAUAAAACUACUUUUGAAGCGCAAUAUAACAUUCUAACAAUAUAAACAUAAUAUAAGAACACAUGAUUAUCGUAAUGCGAUAAUUGCAAAUAUGAACAAGAAGAGUUAAAAAGUUAAUAUUUCAUUCAAUUUUCUCUCAAUUAUUAUUUAUGAUGUUUGCAAUAAUGGCAUGAUUGACAAUAUUCUGAUUUCAAUAAAUCGAUAGUUCGAACGACUAACUAUUGCGACCAACUUUAUUGCUUUCGUCCGACUAAUAUCCAACUUGUGUCUGCUGGUUGCUGCAUCUCGUCAAGGUUACAAUAAAUGAAUAAGUUAAAAGUGUGCAUAUAUGAACCAGAAGGAUUUGCAUAUUUGUGACCAUUCGGCGAUACUUGUCCAUAUUCAUCCUUUGUUGUCUUUGUUUUUUUCUUGUCUUCGUCUCAUUCUCGAAAUUCGAGAAUUUGUAGAAAGGUUAUGUUUUGAACAUUUUAAGCCAUAGUUUUCAAUACUUCUGAGACGCGAGCAGUUUCCUUCCU
rnacentral:misc_RNA from 1 species